rnacentral:lncRNA from 1 species
AUUUUAAGAAAUUUUUGUGGUUACCUUAUCAAAAGUUCAACUGUUUAUUGCCACUACUUCUUUUUUAUCUGUCCUGGGGGUUGAACCUGGGGCUUUAGUACUGAGUUACAUCUCCAGCCCAUUUUUCACUUUUUAUUUUGAGACAGGUUCUUGUCAAGUCACCCAGGCUGGGCUUGAACUUGGCCUUCUCUUGCCUCAGUCUCCCAAGUAGCUAGGAUUACAGGGCUGGCCAUUGAACCCGGGACCUCACAUAUUCUAGAUGAAACUCUAUAUUUGGACCAACAACUCUAGUUCCUCCUCCUCUUCCAGUUCCUGGCCACUCUACUUGACUGUGUGAGUCGGAUGCCUCUUACAGAUAGAAUAUGCAAUAUCUGUCCUUUUGUGACUGUCCUGUUACACUAAUAUUUCCUCCAGCUUCAUUCAAAUUUUCAAAAAUGAUAGGAUUUUUUUAAAGGCUGAGUAAUAUAAUAGUGUAUGAAUAUUUCACAUUUUCUUUAAAAAUUAGUUCAUCAGUGGACAUUCAGGUGGUUUCCCUAUCUUGGGUAUUGUGUAUAGUGCUGUGGUGAAAAGGAAAGUGCAAAUAUUUCUUCAAGGCCAUAAUUUCAACUCUUUAGGAUGCAUACCUAAGGUAGGGAUUAUGAUGGAUCCAUUUUUUAUUUUUUUCCCCUAU